rnacentral:rRNA from 1 species
AUGAACGCUAGCGACAGGCCUAACACAUGCAAGUCGAGGGGCAGCACAAGGAGCAAUCUGAGGUGGCGACCGGCGCACGGGUGAGUAACACGUAUGCAACCUGCCUGUAAGCGGGGAAUAACCCGUUGAAAGACGGACUAAUACCGCAUAAUACUAAAUUACUGCAUGGUAAUUUAUUUUAAACAUUUAUGGCUUACAGAUGGGCAUGCGCAUGAUUAGCUAGUUGGAGAGGUAACGGCUCCCCAAGGCAACGAUCAUUAGGGGUUCUGAGAGGAAGGUCCCCCACACUGGUACUGAGACACGGACCAGACUCCUACGGGAGGCAGCAGUGAGGAAUAUUGGUCAAUGGACGAGAGUCUGAACCAGCCAAGUCGCGUGCAGGAAGAAUGUCCCUAUGGAUUGUAAACUGCUUUUGCAGGGGAAUAAAGUGCAUCACGUGUGAUGUUUUGUAUGUACUCUGCGAAUAAGGAUCGGCUAACUCCGUGCCAGCCGCCGC